GCAUUGGUGGUGCAACGGUUAUAGCAUAUACUCCCGGAAAGAGUGAGAUCUGGGUUCGAAUCUUGGCUGACGCG